ensembl:lncRNA
CUCACAUUCUCUGUUAUGCUGCUUUAGUUCAGACUUCUGUUCAGCAGACCUAGAACUUUCCUGCUUCUGCAAAUCAAGAUUUUAUUAGGCUGCCCAUUUACUUUGGUCUUGGAGCACCAUAAUUGGUUGAUCGAUCAAUCAAUUACUAAUAAUUCCAUUCCCCUGCAUUCCACCCUCCACAACUGGAGAACAAUAGUGAGGUGGUGAGGUGGGUGAGCAGAAAUUAAAUAAAUUCAUUCAGAGAAUUCCCUGGUGGUGCAGUGGUUAGGACCCCACACUGUUACUGCUGACGGUCUGGGUUCGAUCCCUGGUGGGGAAUCCUGCAAGUCAAAUGGCACGGCGAAAAAAAAAAAAAAAGUCCACUCAGCAUUUGAGCAACCUUUGGAAUCUUUUGGACCCUUCCUUCUACACUGUACUAAAGGAAUCCUGGCCUCUCAGCUUCACUCAGUGAAGGCUACCUUGGGACCAGCCUUCGAUGAAUCAACUGAGCAACCCUUUAGAGCAAGCCCCAGGCCAUGUUACAGCCACUCCCCACUGGUCCCUUAGCAUCCCCAGAUGGGAUCGUCUAGUUGCAGAAAACAAGCUCAGGGCUUCCACUGAUUCUGCAUUUGGUGAGCUGUGUAAUUAUUUCACUAUAGAUCACAAUGUAAUAAUAACAGAAAUAAAGUGCACAAUAAAUGGCACGUGCGUGAAUCAUCCUGAAACCAUCCCCACCCCCAGUCCAUGGAAAACGGUCUUCCAUGAAACCCAUCCCUGGUCCAAAAAGGCUGGGGACCACUGUUUUAGAGCCAUCCCCAGCUGUCUGAGCUACCAGGAGGAAUGCAGGAUCUAUGAUUAACGCAUCCACUCACUUCAACACGUGAUACUCCUUUCAUCAUAAUGCGCUGCUUAGUGUCCAUUCCCAGACACAUUUCCCUGUUCAUACACGCUGGAGACAUCUUGCAGCUCUUUGGUGUGUACUGUGCCUUCUCCGGGCUUCCCAGGUGGCGCAGUGGUAAGGAAUCUGCCUGCCAACGCAGGAGUCACAGAAGACACAAGUUCGAUCCCUGGGUCAGAAGAUCCCCUGAAGGAGGAAAUGGCAACCCACUCCAGUAUUCUUGCCUGGGAAAUCCCAUGGACAGAGAGGAGCCUGACAGGCUCCAGUCAUGGGGUCACAAAGCGUCAGGCACAACUAAGCAACUGAGCAUGCGCGCUCCGUUGCGCAUGCUCACACACACACGCUUCCUCAUGGGUCACACUGUGUGCCUGAUACCCUGAAACUUGCCGGGUCUUAAGUCUGAGAAGUGUUAUGCCUUGGCCACUAGAGUUUCUCUAGGCACAAAGAGAACCUCUGACUCUUUACUCAGACUUUGGGAAUUGAAGCCCUUGAGCUCAUCUUUCACCCUUUUUUGGUGCACUUAGAAGCAAAGGAGCAGCCCCAUGGUCCUGAUGCUCUUUAUUUCCAGUUCUGCUCCAUUGGAAGCAUCACCAUCGCCAAUCACUGUAUCAGGCAGCGCUGGGUCGGGAGGCAGAGCCCUGCCAGGCUUCCCCAGUCCAAGCAUCUCCCCACACCUGCCCGAUGGCUGCCUCGCCUCCCCCAGCAGACUGUGAGCUCUGAGAUGCUGGGCUGAGUCUCCCAACUCAUCACGGUGCAACCAGCACUUGGCACAAGCUUGGAACAGAGCGGCGUUCAAUAUACAUUUGUAAAUGGUUUCCUGACCAGGGAUCAAACCAGCAGCCCCUGCAUCACAAGCACAGAGUCUUAUUCACAUGGACCACCAGUGAAGCCACUCGGAUGACUUCUGAUGUUAAGGAGGAUGGUCUUGUUCAUGUUAAGAUUAAUCUUCAUGGCAUAAACAGCAGACGCAAACAGAAACCUAGUUCCUGCGUUCUCUCCUGUCUCCAAGCCCAG